rnacentral:lncRNA from 1 species
UUUUUUUUUUUUUUUUUAGACAGAAUUUCACUCUUGUCGCCCAGGCUGGAGUGCAAUGGCGUGAUCUCGGCUCACUGCAACCUCUGCCUCCCAGGUUCAAGCGAUUCUCCCGCCUCAGCCACCGGAGUAGCUGAGAUUACAGGUAUCCACCACCACGCCGGGCUAAUGUUUUGUAUUUUUAGUAGAGACAGGGUUUCUCUAUUUUGGUCAGGCUAGUCUCGAACUCCUGACCUCAGGCGAUCCACUCUCCUCUGCCUCCCAAAGUGCUGGGAUUACAGGCCUAAGCUAUGCGCCCGGACUAUACGUCGAAGUUUUAACCCCCAAUAUAAUUGUAUUUGGAGAUGGAAUCUUCGGGAGAUAAAUGGGUUUAAAUAAGAUGGUGAGGGUGGGGUCCCUAUGAUAGGAUUAGUGCCCUUAUAAGAAGAGGAACAGACACCAGGGCUCUCUCUGCUUGGCGAGGUUGCAACAAGACAGAGGACAUCUGUGAGCCAAGGAGAUGCCCUCGCCAGGAACCAACCACGCUGCACCCUGAUCUCGGACUCGCAGCCUCCAUACUGUGACAAAGCAGAUGUCUGUUGCUUAAAGGCCACUAGUCUAUGGUAUUUGGUUAUGGCAUCCUGAGAUGCCUAAGACACCCGUGUACCUCCCUUUUCUCUGGGAUCCUCGUUCCUUAAGUCUCAUCACAUGCAUGGGAUUAGCAAACUCCUUGCUGGCUUCACUGACUCCCAGUCAGUGCCUGGCAGGUUUCUUGGGCUCUCUCCCAGCACAGAGGGAGGCAACAUCUCACUUCUAGGUGGCUCCUUCUGUCUGGGAUCCUGACUUCUCCAGUCUUGACUGCUUGGGCAGCUUGCGGAUGUCUUCAAACACACUUUUUAAAAAUCUGACCUUUCUGCAUGUUCUCAAUGAAGCAUUAAUGUAUGUCUGGCUUCUCCAUCUUAGUGGGAAACUAGGCGGUCCCACUGCCCCAGUAUUGAUCCAAAUAAGGGGGAAAAUAUGAAACCUGUGAUUCGCCAGUUGCCUGCUCCCAGUCCUUAAAUGACGCUCCUGGUGCUACCAGUCCUUGGAUGACGCUCCCAGUGCCCCUAGUCCAUGGAUGACGCUCUCAGUGCUCUCAGUCCAUGGAUGGCACUCCUAGUGCUCCCAGUCCAUGAAUGAUGCUCCUAGUGCUCCCAGUCCAUGGAUGAUACUCCUAUGCUCCCAGUCCUUGGAUAACACUCCUGGUGCUCCCAGUCUGUGGAUGACACUCCCAGUGCUCCCAGUCCUUGGAUAAUGUUCCUGGUGCUCCCAGACUUUGGAUGAGACUCCUAGUGGUUUCAGUCCAUGGAUGAUGCUUUUAGUGCUCCCAGCCCAUGGAUGAUGCUCCUAGUGCUCCCAUCCUUGGAUAAUGUUCCUGGUGCUCCCAGUCUUUGGAUGAGACUCUUAGUGCUCCCAGCCCAUGGAUGAUGCUCCCAGCCCAUGGAUGAUGCUCCUAGUGCUCCCAGUCCUUGGAUGAUGUUUCUAGCUGACCCUUGUUCUAUUCUUUGAAUCCAUGAUGUAAUCUCAGGAAUUUUGUCAACACAUAGCUCUAGAGGUUCACAUAGUAUUAAACCUAUCUGCCUGACCCAUUUGAGGUUUCUCACGGAGUUACUGAAUCAUUUUGGUCAAACACUUGCCAAUCUCAAGCAAAAAGUGAGUCUGCAGUUGUCUGAAUUCAAUAGUUUUUCAUAGCAUUAUGGUUUUCUUGGCUAAAUUCAGACUGACUUCAUGUGUUGGAACAGUUUGCAUCUCUUACUUUAUCCGCUUAAGAAAUGAAAAGAAUAAUACUCGUGACUGAAAAACAGGGUCAUGAAGACUAUGCAAAUAUUUGGAAAGCAGCAUCGUUUGAACACUUGAAAGAAAAGUGCAAUAUAAAUGAUUAUUUUUUAAAGCACCAUAUGUAGGAAAUGCGAUCCAGCUUUUUAAAGAAGUGUUUUGGCGUUUCAUCCCAAUUUACUGAUGAAUGGUAACUAAUGAAAUGUUUGUCUGGGAUUCUGAAGAGGCAAUUCGAUUGCUGCAUGUGGAUAAAGAAUGCCAGUUGCUUUUGAUCCUGCCGACCAAGGCAUCUUAUAUAAUGAUAAAUUAUACCAGGUUUCAAAAUCCUCUGAAUGAUGCUAUCUGCAAUACCAUUGCUUCUCCUUACUAUCUCCCAUUUUUACUUCCUCCCAGUGAAAGAAAUAACAGUUUGUAAAGGCUUAUAAAUUCCAACUCUUAUCUUUUAAAAUGGUUGUUCUCUUCCUCAUCUUAACAUGCAAAUAGACUGCCUUUCUUAAGGCUUUGAUAAAGAGCCAGAAGAAAAGUUCACAAGGUUUCGAUAAACCGUCCUGAGAAGCCCAGCCAGUGAACAAAGAUCCACGAGGAAUUGACUAUC